UCUCACGGAAAAGGUGCACAUUGAUCCGUCCUGCGGCCGUACGGGCGGGCUGCGGCUCUCCGACCUUCCCCCUGGAGGCGAUCUUGGCCGAGGGGCCGGGUGAGGGCUGAGGGGGCCGUGACGCGGUGCCGCCUCAGGGGAGCAGAGAGCGGGGCGGCAGCCUGCCCCUCAAACCAUCAGUGCGGUGGCCAGUGCUGUGGGUGCCCUUAAUAACGCCUCAUGAAUAAGUGGUAUGUAAGGAGGGAGAGAAAAGUCUCGGCUUGUAGCGCUACCCCUGACUCCGGCAGCCCUCCUGCGCCCAGACGCUGUGGAAACCCGGAGCUCCUUCAUGGCUCACCGUGGUAGAGAGGACGAGCCGGCUUCAUGUUCACACACACCCCGCCCCGCCGUGCGCUGCCUCCUGUCCUCAAUGGUGCUCAUGCGGGUUUAGCUGCCGGUGGGAUUUCUGCCCCCUCGGUGGUGACAACCUGCCCAGAGGCCGCCGCAGACUGUCGAGUAGACUCAUGCGAGUCGCUUUAUUAAGACUGGAAACAAACCGCAUCUUCCAGUGGCUCUUCAAAAAGCACUUUUUUUUUGUCCAUAGGUGAGAGAUGUGUGGUUGGAAGAACUAGCUGUCAUUUGGCCAAAGUCUAAACUUCUAAAAGCUACCUAAAGAUACAUCCUCAGCUGCAACUCCAAAACACCUGGGCCAAGGUAUGAAGCAACAGAGAUUGGAAUCCACAUACUUCAUGAAAGUCAUAUUUAACAAAGAGAGCCUUGUUUCUACAGCAGCAAGGAUGUCUGCAUGACGUGCUAAUGAAUGGUUUCUUCUUUCUGAUUCCCGUCUAGAAGACAGACCAUUAAGUGACACAGAUUUAACAAUGAGUCAACAAAAUGAAACAGUAAAAAUCACUCAAGUUAACUUCACCUGUAAAACCCUCUGAGGUUUGAAAACGUAACCACUAACAUUAGUUCUGUCUGUAUGGAAAUAACCUGCUGUGGAUUGAGAACCAGCUAGUAAUAGCAUACCACACUGAGACAGAAUUUGUUCUCUAAAUAAUCACCUUAUGUGAUCCAUGAACUCUGUAUGUAAUUUAGGACUAUUUAAAAACAAACUUUCACUACUAACUAGCAGUAGACACUAAGUCAGUGUGAAUAUUUUCAUCCUCCCAUGUUCCUACAGUUAAUACUUCAAUGCAGCUGACAAAUUUAAUAUAUUAAUAGUGCUUGCUACAAAAUUGAGGUUGAGAUGCAAGUUAUUUUGACAAAGGAUCUCUACAAUAAACAACAUUGAGUCUCUUCACUUUGAGAAAUCUGACAGGACACAGCAGUAGCUACACUUAAUUCAUCAUAAAGGGGAGAAAAAAAAUAUUGCUUUAAGUGAGAAACUAGCUCCCAGCAAUGCUCACAUGUCAAACUUCACUCCCUUUCCCUGUUUAAUCCUUGACAUUGAAAAAAAAUUUGCUGUUUUUUCAAGCAGUCGUAGAUAAAUAAAGGGAGUCAGUCCUAAAAAAGAAUGGCAUUUAUUCAUUUCUAGGAGUCCUUGCUUGAUUUGCCAGAAGAAAAGAGUAGCACAUAUCUACUCUUUUCUCUGUUUAAAACACCACAGACACUUUCCAAUAUUCCUGUACAUAGUAUACGACAACUUACAUUCAUCCACACCAUUAUUCUCUAAUUAGAUCUUAAGUCAAGGUGCUUUU